rnacentral:rRNA from 1 species
UGCCAGCCGCCGCGGUAACACGGGGGGCGCAAGCGUUAUUCGGAAUUAUUGGGCGUAAAGCGUACGUAGGUGGCAAGGUCAGUCAGGCGUGAAAGCCCUCGGCUCAACCGAGGAAUUGCGUUUGAUACUGCUUUGCUAGAGUCUCGGAGAGGUUGGCGGAAUUCCAGGUGUAGGAGUGAAAUCCGUAGAUAUCUGGAGGAACACCAGUGGCGAAGGCGGCCAACUGGACGAGUACUGACACUGAGGUACGAAAGCGUGGGUAGCGAACAGGAUUAGAUA